rnacentral:rRNA from 1 species
UACGGAGGGUGCAAGCGUUGUCCGGAUUUAUUGGGUUUAAAGGGUGCGUAGGCGGCUCAUUAAGUCUGGGGUGAAAGCCCGUUGCUCAACAACGGAACUGCCCUGGAAACUGGCGAGCUUGAGUACAGACGAGGGUGGCGGAAUAGAUGGUGUAGCGGUGAAAUGCAUAGAUACCAUCUAGAACCCCGAUUGCGAAGGCAGCUGCCUAGACUGUAACUGACGCUGAGGCACGAAAGCGUGGGGAGCGAACAGG